rnacentral:lncRNA from 10 species
UUUUUGUAAAAACCAAGAUGCACAUCUCUGAGAAUUUUUUAUCUGUUCUUUAACAAUGGAAGUUCUGCUGAAAAAGUGGCAGCGUAAAUUUUUUUUAAAUAAAACUUUGUUGCAAGAGAUGUGCUAAGUUAGUUCAUCCAGGAAUGCCAUAAGGAGGUCGUUUGAGGGGAUCUCAUUUAUGAAUGAAAGUGAGUUUCCUGGCAGACUACCAGUCUCUUCCAAAUGCACACGCUCCGAGAACAGGACUCCACAGAUCUCACACCUAUUUCCAACAGAAGACACAGGAACUAACCACUAUUCGCUGGAUCCUAACUAAGGUCCUACUGGAGCGGCAGAUGGGAAUCUGUGCGUCCUGCUGGGCUUCCUGAACAUCCUACUACUAGGUUCUAAGAAUUAGCUACACUCUAUUACAUGGUGAUAAUUUUUUUUUCGCGCUCAGAAAACCGCAAAGGGAUUUAACCAAAAGGAGGAAAGAUUUUCUUUUUAUAAAUUCGAUUAGCCUUUUCCACUUUCUCUACGUCGGGACAUUUCCUCUGGGAGGAAUUUCAUACCCAGAGGCCCCUUGGCGAGGCACUGUUGCAUGCGGGGCGCAGUGAAUUUAAGUGCAAGACGCUCAACUGUGGACGGAAAGUCAAAAUCGCAAGCACUUGCAGUCGCUAGCGAAGUCGGUUUCUUAAUACCGGUGUAGGAACAGCCCUCCAAGCGGAGAAAGACGAACUUUGCCGCGGGCAGACAGUACGCGACUCUUGGCUCGGGCGCGCGCGGGUGGUUACCAAGCCCACCCUCCGCUUGCCACCGCUGAAUUUCGCGCCCGAGCCGGCGCCAGGGCGCCCGGUCACGGCGCUGCACCCGGCGCCCGUCUGGAGAUAGCCCUUGGUGGCGGGCGGCGGGAGUUCCCCCAAAAACCUGCGUUUUGCUGCUGGUAUUGAACUGCUGGAGAGCGAGUGCGCCGAGGGCGCACAGUGUAGACUUGGCCAGGGGCGAGGUACCCACCCAAGCCUGCUCCAUACUUCGGGUUCGAAGCCGCUCCAGUGUUCUAAGAGAGGUUAGGAUUGAGUGACAGCAGUUCAGUAGGAAAGGAGUUUCUGAAACUCCCGGGGAAGCAAGGUCCCGGGGUUUGGAAAAAUAACCGAAUCUACGGAGAGCUUUCCAAACUUGAUCUUUUUUUCUGUCAUUUUUUUCCUGUUCUCCCCGCACCCCUCCCCCAACCCUAACUCCAACCCCAACCCCAACCCUAGUUAAGAGCCCUAAGGGCUAGAGGGUACAAGCCACCUCAACCCUUCCUUUUCCCUCUGCCCCCGCAAACUUUCAGACAAGGAAAAUACAAAUAAACCCCAGGUGGUUAAUGCGGGUGCAUUCAGGAACACCCCCCCACCAACACACACACAUGCACACACACACACAGCUGGCCACCCGCUCUGUCCCACCCACCUCCGGGCAGGGGAGGGACUGGGAACCUGAUCUCCGGGCUCCUGCCCCGAACUUUUCCCCAUCAAUAAUGUUGAUACCAUCGAUGUGCCUCGUCCCCCGCCCCCGGGGCGCCGCUGCCGCCUUUUCGCCGCUUUUUGCCUUGCUUAAGAAAACGAAACCUCCACUACUGCCCUUCUAGCCUCGGCCGGGGGCCAGCGGGGCCUUGAGCUGGGGACUGAGGAAACAGGGGUGCAGGGAGAGCACUUGGAGACGUCCUCCAUUUCUGGGGUAGGGUGGCCAAGCACCGUCAACGGAACGGAAAAGAGGGUCUGGGGCCCAGGCAAGGCCUCAUCCCAGGCCCCAUCCCAGACCCGAGGUCAGAUCGGGCCAGAAUAAGAUACUUUUGAGGGUAGAAGAACCAGGCCUCAGAAUGCGCGAGCCUUGACGCCCCCCACGUUGCCCUUCGUAGGACCAGAGGUUGAGCAAAGAAGCCUGGAAACCUCAUGGCUGGGACCCCAGUUGUGGCCUGCGGCCUUGGGGCACAGACCUUCGGCCCCGCCAACCCACCAAGGAUACUCUAGGACUUGGGAAAACUAAGGGGACGUAUUAGUAGGAACGAGCAUCAAUCCCCCAAGAUGGGAGUUUGCAAAACUCGCCAAGCGCCUCCCCCGGGUGCGGUUCCUCUCCGCCAGUGAGGUCGCGACCCCGGCGCAGCUGCCGCCUCACUUCGGGCUAUCCCCAUUCGCUAUUGCGGAUCAGCCCCUAAGUACCAGGCCCUCUGGCGGAACCUGCAAGUCCAAACUUCGCUACCCGGAUUCCCCAGUAGUCCCCCCCCCACCCCACCUCCACCCAGAGUUAGGAGGGUGCUACCGCACGUAGAGCGCGCAGGUCUCUGGGGUGAGCAGGGCGCGUGGAGGGACUCCAGGAGUGGCACCUCACUCCCGCUCGCCGCCUACUUUCGACCCGCACAAAAAUAAAGAAUAACCCCCACUCUGCUUCUGUUUUUAUUGAUGUAUUUCUUUGCAUCGCGGCACGCGGAGCCUCGCCAGCGCCCUGACACUGCAGCGCCCGCACCAGCGAACCACGGAACUUGGGACCGAGACAAUGGCCCGUAAUUGAUGUAUUGCCAUCAACAAUAAAGACCAAUUCUCCUCUCCCCGCCAUUCCGACCAUCCCCCUCCUCCCAUCCCCCCCUCCUCCACCUCCCAUCUCCUUUCCCGGGGCCACCGAGGGAAAGAAAACAAACAAGAAAUUAGCGGGGGACGCCAAGCGCAGAUCGAAACGCCCGCCUCUACGCCGUCGAGGACGCAAAAAAACGAAAAAAGUUAUUAAAGUUUGGAUCCCCCAAUUUAUUCGUCUCUGCUCGCCCAUUUUUAAUUAAGCAUCGCGUAGCUGCUUUUCGCAUGUUCAUUUCGUUUGGUUGUUUGUUGUGGUGUUUUUUUGGGGGGGGGGAAUUUUUUUUUUU